rnacentral:misc_RNA from 1 species
UUUUUGCGUUGGCGUGUGUGG